rnacentral:lncRNA from 1 species
ACAGAGAGGCCUUUUGGGAGAAGAAGAUAUACUGGCAACUUCUAGAAGGAUUCUACCAUUUUCUUCUUUACCAUGAACAAACUUGAAAAUUAAUGGCAGCAAGUUAAAAGGAGCAAACCUCUGUCUGCAUGAAAGAGUUUGAAGAAAAAGCAAAUCACCUCUCC